rnacentral:rRNA from 1 species
ACGGGGGGAGCAAGCGUUGUUCGGAUUUACUGGGCGUAAAGGGCGCGUAGGCGGCGCAACAAGUCACUUGUGAAAUCUCCGGGCUUAACCCGGAAAGGUCAGCCGAUACUGCGGGGCUAGAGUGCAGAAGGGGCAACUGGAAUUCUCGGUGUAGCGGUGAAAUGCGUAGAUAUCAAGAGGAACACCUGCGGCGAAGGCGGGUUGCUGGGCCGACACUGACGCUGAGGCGCGAAAGCCAGGGGAGCGAACGGGA